rnacentral:rRNA from 1 species
GGACCCGCACAAGCGGUGGAGCAUGUGGUUUAAUUCGAAGCAACGCGAAGAACCUUACCAGGUCUUGACAUCCUUUGACCACUCUAGAGAUAGAGCUUUCCCUUCGGGGACAAAGUGACAGGUGGUGCAUGGUUGUCGUCAGCUCGUGUCGUGAGAUGUUGGGUUAAGUCCCGCAACGAGCGCAACCCUUAUUACUAGUUGCCAGCAUUUAGUUGGGCACUCUAGUGAGACUGCCGGUGACAAACCGGAGGAAGGUGGGGAUGACGUCAAAUCAUCAUGCCCCUUAUGACCUGGGCUACACACGUGCUACAAUGGAUGGUACAACGAGUCGCAAGGUCGCGAGGGGGAGCCAAUCCGACAAACCUAGUCGUAGUCCGGAUCGGAGUCUGCAACUCGACUCCGUG